UCCCCGUUCACCGGGGCGGUCCCCUCAGAGUGCCCGGCAUAUGUCAAACCCAGGUAAGGUUCUUCGCGUUGCAUCGAAUUAAACCACAUGCUCCACCGCUUGUGCGGGCCCCCGUCAAUUCCUUUGAGUUUUAAUCUUGCGACCGUACUCCCCAGGCGGGGUGCUUAAUGCGUUUGCUGCGCCACCGACCGGCAUGCCGACCGACGGCUAGCACCCAUAGUUUACGGCGUGGACUAC
rnacentral:misc_RNA from 1 species